UACGUAGGUGGCAAGCGUUGUCCGGAUUUACUGGGCGUAAAGAGCGCGCAGGCGGUCGUUCAAGUCGCGUGUGAAAGCCCCCGGCUCAACUGGGGAGGGUCACGCGAUACUGAUCGACUCGAAGGCAGGAGAGGGUAGUGGAAUUCCCGGUGUAGUGGUGAAAUGCGUAGAUAUCGGGAGGAACACCAGUGGCGAAGGCGACUACCUGGCCUGUUUCUUGACGCUGAGGCGCGAAAGCUAGGGGCGCAAACGGG
rnacentral:rRNA from 1 species